rnacentral:rRNA from 1 species
CCUACGGGUGGCAGCAGUGGGGGAUAUUGCACAAUGGGGGGAACCCUGAUGCAGCGACGCCGCGUGGGUGAAAGAGCGUUUCGGCGCGUAAAGCCCUAUCGGCAGGGAAGAAGGAGGACGGUACCUGACUAAGAAGCCCCGGCUAACUACGUGCCAGCAGCCGCGGUAAUACGUAGGGGGCAAGCGUUAUCCGGAUUUACUGGGUGUAAAGGGAGCGUAGACGGCAAGGCAAGUCUGGAGUGAAAGCCCGUGGCCCAACCACGGGACUGCUUUGGAAACUGUGUUGCUGGAGUGCAGGAGGGGUAAGCGGAAUUCCUGGUGUAGCGGUGAAAUGCGUAGAUAUUAGGAGGAACACCGGUGGCGAAGGCGGCUUACUGGACUGUAACUGACGUUGAGGCUCGAAGGCGUGGGGAGCAAACAGGAUUAGAUACCCCAGUAGU